rnacentral:rRNA from 1 species
AGAGUUUGAUCCUGGCUCAGGAUGAACGCUGGCGGCGUGCUUAACACAUGCAAGUCGAGCGAAGCACUUAUGACGAUCCUUCGGGUGAAUCAUUUGUGACUGAGCGGCGGACGGGUGAGUAACGCGUGAGUAACCUGCCUCAUACAGGGGAAUAACAGUUAGAAAUGACUGCUAAUGCCGCAUAAGCGCACAGGGCCGCAUGGCCCGGUGUGAAAAACUCCGGUGGUAUGAGAUGGACUCGCGUCUGAUUAGCUAGUUGGCAGGGUAACGGCCUACCAAGGCGACGAUCAGUAGCCGGCCUGAGAGGGUGAACGGCCACAUUGGGACUGAGACACGGCCCAAACUCCUACGGGAGGCAGCAGUGGGGAAUAUUGCACAAUGGGGGAAACCCUGAUGCAGCGACGCCGCGUGAGUGAAGAAGUAUUUCGGUAUGUAAAGCUCUAUCAGCAGGGAAGAAAAUGACGGUACCUGACUAAGAAGCCCCGGCUAACUACGUGCUAGCAGCCGCGGUAAUACGUAGGGGGCAAGCGUUAUCCGGAUUUACUGGGUGUAAAGGGAGCGUAGACGGCUUUGCAAGUCUGACGUGAAACUCCGGGGCUCAACUCCGGAACUGCGUUGGAAACUGUAAGGCUUGAGUGCCGGAGAGGUAAGCGGAACUCCUAGUGUAGCGGUGAAAUGCGUAGAUAUUAGGAGGAACACCAGUGGCGAAGGCGGCUUACUGGACGGCAACUGACGUUGAGGCUCGAAAGCGUGGGGAGCAAACAGGAUUAGAUACCCUGGUAGUCCACGCGGUAAACGAUGAAUACUAGGUGUUGGGGGACAAAGUCCUUCGGUGCCGCCGCAAACGCAUUAAGUAUUCCACCUGGGGAGUACGUUCGCAAGAAUGAAACUCAAAGGAAUUGACGGGGACCCGCACAAGCGGUGGAGCAUGUGGUUUAAUUCGAAGCAACGCGAAGAACCUUACCAAGUCUUGACAUCGAUUCGACGGGAGUGUAAUGACUCCUUUCCCUUCGGGGACGAAGAAGACAGGAGGUGCAUGGUUGUCGUCAGCUCGUGUCGUGAGAUGUUGGGUUAAGUCCCGCAACGAGCGCAACCCUUAUCUUUAGUAGCCAGCGGUUAGGCCGGGCACUCUAGAGAGACUGCCAGGGAUAGCCUGGAGGAAGGCGGGGAUGACGUCAAAUCAUCAUGCCCCUUAUGACUUGGGCUACACACGUGCUACAAUGGCGUAAACAAAGGGAAGCAAAGCUGUGAAGCCGAGCAAAUCUCAAAAAUAACGUCUCAGUUCGGACUGUAGUCUGCAACCCGACUACACGAAGCUGGAAUCGCUAGUAAUCGCAGAUCAGAAUGCUGCGGUGAAUACGUUCCCGGGUCUUGUACACACCGCCCGUCACACCAUGGGAGUUGGGAAUGCCCGAAGCCAGUGACCUAACCGAAAGGAAGGAGCUGUCGAAGGCAGGCUCGAUAACUGGGGUGAAGUCGUAACAAGGUA